rnacentral:rRNA from 1 species
UACGUAGGCAGCGAGCGUUGUUCGGAAUUACUGGGCGUAAAGAGUGUGUAGGCGGUGCUCCAAGUCUGUUGUGAAAUCUCCCGGCUUAACUGGGAGGGUGCGGCGGAAACUAGAGUGCUAGAGGGUGGGAGAGGUAAGCGGAAUUCCUGGUGUAGCGGUGAAAUGCGUAGAUAUCAGGAGGAACACCUGUGGUGUAGACAGCUUACUGGACCACUUCUGACGCUGAGACACGAGAGCGUGGGUAGCAAACAGG